AAUCCGGGCUAGAAGCGACG
rnacentral:snRNA from 1 species